GAGUAUUCAACCCGCAAUCUUUGCUAAUUUGAGCGGGUCAACUCAUCAGGGUCUCCUCCCGAUCGAUCCAGAUCGAGGCGGUCAACGAGCGUGCGGGGCGGCAGGCGGAUCUCCCGCUCGAUCCAAUCGAGUGAGGUCUGCACAGGGUGGCGGCUGACUGGCAGGCCGUGCGGAACUUCGGCGGCGGCCGGAUCCAAGCGAGCGGCGGCGGGACUUACAAGGCGUUGGGGUUCUCCGGGGCGGCACCACGGUUGCUCCGGCGUGCUCCUGGAAGAAAAGGAGGGAGGACGAGGGAGAGGGAGAGAGAAAACUGGGAGGAAGGAGAGAAACGAGGGGGAGGCACGGCAGGAGGAUGUGCUGCUGGUUUCUCCGGUGAAGAGGAGAUAGGGCGCAGACGUUCGCGGGAGUGGGCGGCGUUUGGCGACGGAGGCGCUGGUCGGGGAGCCCAUGGUGCGGGCUCCCAGGGGGAGAUGGACGGGGACGAGGGUGGUCUGGUGCGCUGCCGGUGCGGGGAGGGCAGGGGAGAGGGACGGCUGCUCUGUAUGUUGUGCGCUGCUGCUGCUGCUAAUCUCAUGUGGAGGACACGCAGGGGCAGACGGGGAGCGAGCGGAGGAUUUAUCUGGGACCUGAAUUUGGCAGGAAAAAGUUGGUCUGUUUGCUGCUGACUGGCUUAGUGUGAUGCUAUACUGCGUUAUGGAGAGGUACAAAGGUUACGUACGUACAUGACCAUGAACGUUUAUCUAUUGGAUUUUUGGGUAAAAUAUUGAUUCCUCGACCCCUUCCUAUGAUUCAUGAGUGGCAAUUGAUCCUGGGCUAUGGAACUACAAUGUCUACUCGGUAAGUUCCCUUACCACUGUAUCUUUUUAUUGCCAACAAGAAUUCUUUUCACAAGCAAAGCCAGCAUUCGAGUGUGUGCAGAGAUGUCUCAAAAGGAAAAUAGCUCAGUCCCGAGCUAUACAUUUGAUGGAGUCGUCUAAAUAUUUUGGACUUAUAAAAUUACAGUGUAGAAUUGGCUUUCAUCUUGUUAAUUCAAAUUUACUUACUUUUUAAACUCUAUAAUAAAUCUAAACAACAUAUGUUGAACAAUGUUUUCCAAGAAUUUUAUUUACAUUUGAUUAUAUCACUUUGAUGUGAGAUGGGUUGUAAAUACUCGUCACUAAAUAAUAUCAACACCGGCUCCCUAUCUCACACUUUCUUCUGUUGCAACGCACAACCGGUUCCCCAUCCCGCGUUUUCUCCCGUUGCAACACACAUACUCAAUGUUAUAUUGCUGUAGUGUAUUCUGAUGCCUCAAGUUUUGCUGUUUCUUAAACCUACAAGGAACCAUUAGCAUUUUCCACUGACACUGCAAGCUUGGCAGACUUCGCUGUACAUGCAAGGCAACUACAUUUUCUCUCAAUACCUUAGUCUGAUUUUCUCUCUGCGUUCCUGGGUCUGCUGCUUGCAUUUUUUGUGAAACUAAGAUAGUGAAGGCUGGUGAAGGAAAAACACUAGAUUUCAACUGUUCUGUAUUGACGGUUUCUGGAAAAAAUGACUAAAUAUUUCUGUACAAUAAUUUGACAAAUUUUAGUGCAUGUGCUGCAUGUUGUAAGUUCUGCCAUGAUGUCGGCUUACCAUGUCAUAAAGUUCAUACCUGACUGAUAAUGUGUGCCAUGAUUCUCACUAAUAAUGUCAGAAAGAUUCCAGGCAGAAAAAUGUAAGUCUCUAUAGUCAACCCCCACAAAGAAAAUGGAACCACUUAUUCAGCACUGAUUAAAUCUAAGGAUUUAUACAUGCUUUUUUAGUUGAUAAUCUUUAGUGUAAACUCUUUCUUUUUUCUUGAUUUCCAGAUUUAUGCACUCUUCCAAUGGUAUAAUAAGAAAAGAAAAGUCCAUUUAUUGGCUUAUUAUGAUCAUAACUGGAAGUAUAUUCGCCACUGACAGUGGUCUUAUAGAGUUGGAAUGUUACGCUUCACUGUAAUUGCUUUACUGAAUCUACAGACUAAGAAAAUUUCUAUUUCUUGUGGCAGGCAAGUGGGUGAGCUCUCACAUCCCUCUCCGUCUCCUUUGAUUUGUUGCAGAUUUCUUCGAAGAACACGAGCUCUGUAUGCUGAUUGCUCCCAUGUACUAUUUACUUCUAAUUUCUUCUGUAUCGUGUAUAUGCCAAUUGUUUUCCUGUACCCUGUGCACAGGGAUUGUGCUCUAGCACCAAUAUAUAUUUUGGAUUAAUAACAAAACAAUAACCAAUGUCAAAAUCCUUAUUUUAGUCAGGACAAUUAGCUAUUGAAAAAGCCAAAAUUAGCUGCAUUCAGUAUUUGACAAGGUAAUGCCAUCAUUCAGUAUUUGGAGCAGAUGCUACAGUUAUAAUGAAGGAUUCUUGUACUUGUGGCCUAUAUACACAAACAAUUUUUGAUACCUGAUACUGCAGCUACAGUAUGAAGUCUCAAAAGAAAAUGAAACAUAAUAUUAAGUUGUUCUCCAGCAAUGCACAGGGAAACUGGGAAGCACAUAGAUGUAGCUGGCAGUAACUCAAAACUGCAGAUGAUCGCACUGGUAGAAAGGACUUAAAUUAACAGUUCAAGCACAUAUCUUGGUUUCUCCCUGUAGUCUGAAGGAAAGCUCCCACACACAAUGAAAUGGCACAAGGAGGAAGCCAAUAAUUAACCUUUUUGUGGGAAAAUAAUUAAUUAACCUUUCCUAAAUAGAAAAGCAAACUGUUCUCAGGGUCCAGUCGAAUUUCUGAGAUGCAACAUGGAAGACGCCACAUCCUCACAGAUCUUCGUCUCAACAACAUGUAUAUAACCUCCUUCAGAAACUUGAACAUUGAUCUACAGAAAACCCAUUUAUUCUUUGAUCAUUUGUUUAGCUGAUCUUUUGCAUUUUGCAAAUACAUACAACUCACGCUAAAUUUGAAAAUGUCGUUUUCUUCUCCCGUUGCAACGCACGAGCAUGUUUGCUACAUAUACUACAACUUAAAUAAAUUAUGUUCUUUUAAGCAUGACUGCUAUAUUUUGAAUCAUUAGGAUAUGAACUGAUCCGAAAUGCAUAGUGCAUCUUUUUGGUUCUGUAAUUUUGGGUGUUAGGUGCCAUAAGUAGUGCCCCUGUUAGUUUGCGAGGUUCAGUUAAAAAACUUUCAAGAAGGGAUGAUGCAAUCUUGUACUUAAUUCAGAAGCUCUCCCAUUUCACUGUUAAGAUCAUCACUCUUUCCUAUAUAUAUGCAGCUACACAUAUGAUUGCAUUUAUCCUCUUAUUCAAGACAAGCAUGCAACAAGACACUUAAUUAUAAACGGAGCAAAUACCACACAUGCUUUAGUAUUUAGGACAGGCUACAAUAUUUCAGAGAUGGGAUGCAUGUGAGUUGUUGAUUUACAGAAAAUGGUUGGAUUUGUGAGUUCAGUCAUUUCUGUUUUAGGUUCUGAUGCUUGAUACUGAACUACGAAAAUGGAAGAUUGUGCUUCAUAGAUUUGACAGUGAAUUCUAUCAAAAUUAAUUAGUUUUCCUUUGGAGCCCGUACUGGAAUGUAAAUCUAUGUGAAACUUAGAGUGCCUGUACUUUGUAUAUAUAUCAUUUAGCUCUUUGAAUAAUGUGCAUACACCAUGAUCUAUCCUAACAUGUUGUUUUAUGUCAACCAGGGAGUUGUGAGGUGACACUUUGGUAAAUCUUGCUACCAUUCUGUCCCUCAACUCUUUCUAGGGGAGUUCCGAAAGAAAUGCAUAUUUUCUUUAAUCGGAAUAGGCAUUCAUAUCUGCUUUGGGUGUUUGCAGGGCAAGCAAUUAUAGUAAGUGUUUCUGCCGCGCGGUGUUUGCUGGGUGAGCGAUCAUAGCCAGUGUCUCUGCCGCGGUUUGUUUGAUGGGCGAGCGACAACGCCAGAGGAAGAAACGACGACCAUAUUGUGGUGAUGACCACCUUGCAAUAAAGCGAUUUAUGUUAAUUGUGUUUAGCACAUUCUAAUUUUGUUUGUCAUGGGACGGAUGUUGUUAAUCUCAGUCUUUAACAUGCCUAAAUGUCAUAUUAUGCC